AAUAUAAUUUUCCCAUGCUAAUUUUCUCCCUCAUCCCUUUGCUUCAAUUCCACCCUCGCCAUGACUCAUGCCUAAUUUAAGGCGGCUUUGCUGCCAAUACAACCCGAUAAUCCAUUCUGUUUUUUCAGUAAGGCCACAGUGACGUGAGAGAAUCAACUGAACAAAACAGAAAAACUUCGGCCGGAUUUCAACGGACACACCUAAGACUUCUGUAAGAAGUUUUACCAACCACAUGCCAGUCAGGCUGCAUCAUAGGGCAACGUGAUUUUGUUGCUUGUUCUGUGACACAGUCAUUCAGCAGCUCUGUCUAUUUGUCUCUGGGUGAAAUCAAGACUACAUGUGGAACAGAGUGUGCUGAAAAAUCCCUGGAAUCCGCUGGUGCAGCUCAUGACGAUCUCAUACCGGAUUGGAUCUGGAGGUGCUGACUGCCGUUAAACCGUCUUGGGGGAAAAUGGGAAGAAAUCAGGCUCAUUUCCCAUCCGGAAUGAGCAAUUCAUCCACAGCUGCUUUCAGUGCAGUCCAAUAAUGAAGGCUGAUGGAUGGCUGGACAUGAUCUGACUGCAUGAGGUCAGUCUGAAAGAGGCAUGCAGCUGUAAAUAACACAGAAAAGGAGCUUUGCACAUGCAGCAUUGAUGUGCAGCACCACAGCUACUGGCUGGCAGACAGUUAGACUCAUGCCCCGCGGGGAAUCUCCCAAAGCAGCUGCAUUGUCUAUAAGAGAAGGAGGUAAACCCAGGGCAGAAGACCCGAACCCCUCAUUUCCAUGGCAACUGCAUGUGUGGACGCCCUGCCAGAGCUCCUGUAGCCCCUGGCAACGGGGCUCUGAGCUGGGAUCAGACUCCUAUCUGCUCCCGUCAAUCACGAUUUGAGCCCAAGGCUGGUGUGUUUUUAGAGAUAGGAAUAAAUCCAUUACUGGCCGCGCGACAGGAUCACCUGCAGCUCCAGCAGAGACGACUAAAGGAAGUGUGAUACUCUGACAUAGUCCGUCUAUGAUGUGCACUGGACCCUCGCCUGUCAGGGGGGGAUAGUUUGCAGUGCAAUUACUAUGAUGGCGAUCGGUGCAGUUCUGCAACAAGAGAUGCAUAAUGAAUCCAGAUGCACAUUAUGACCUUAUAUCAAACAAGCUUCAAUUGCUAGUGCUUGAUUUCCAGCAGAACGUUUUCAAUAAUGCUGAUUAUGUGACAUAUCAAGCCCAUAAUUUCCCCUGAGUGGUAUUGUUUAGAAUGGUCCAGGCAAUUCAGGUGGACAUUCAAAAUUGAAUCGAUUGUGUAGUUUUGCGUCAUAGAAGUGCGACUACAACAAAAAUGAAGCUAACAACAACAACAUUGGAGGUAA